ACGGCCAUACCAUGCUGAAUAUACCGGUUCUCGUUCGAUCACCGAAGUCAAGCAUCAUCGGGCGCGGUCAGGGUGAUGACUUGGGAGGGUGACCACCUGGGAAAA
rnacentral:rRNA from 1 species